rnacentral:rRNA from 1 species
UAAGACGUAGGGUGCGAGCGUUGUCCGGAUUUAUUGGGCGUAAAGAGCUCGUAGGCGGCUCGUCGCGUCGACCGUGAAAACCCGCAGCUUAACUGCGGGCUUGCGGUUGAUACGGGCGGGCUAGAGUUCGGUAGGGGAGACUGGAAUUCCUGGUGUAGCGGUGAAAUGCGCAGAUAUCAGGAGGAACACCGGUGGCGAAGGCGGGUCUCUGGGCCGAUACUGACGCUGAGGAGCGAAAGCGUGGGGAGCGAACAGGAUUAGAUACCCUGGUAGUCCACGCUGUAAACGUUGGGCGCUAGGUGUGGGGGGCCUCUCCGGUUCUCUGUGCCGCAGCUAACGCAUUAAGCGCCCCGCCUGGGGAGUACGGCCGCAAGGCUA